rnacentral:sRNA from 1 species
GGCUAGACCUGAUUGAAAUGGCAUUCCGGUGUCUGAUCAAUUUAUCUUUCCGGAAAAUUCACCGGAAUAUAAUGUAAAGCAGGACUCCGG